AUGGCCACAUCAUGUUAAAACACCAGUUCCGGUACGAUCUCUGAAGUUAAGCAAUGUUGAGCCUGGUUGGUACCUAGAUGGGUGAGUGCUUGGGAAUACCAGGUGCUGCAAUC